GUCAGAGGAUGGAGAUGGCAAAUCAGUGUACCCUGACUGGUCCCUUCAGCUGGAGGGAUGAAGAGGCAAGGGUCAAGAUGCCACAGAGAAAGUGAAGCGGCAGGAUGCAGUGGAAGAGAGGGAACUGUGUUGAUGUACAGAGAGCACUUUGGUGGCCUUCAGCAGUGCUGGUGACCCUUGAAAAAAGCAUCAUAUCCAGAUGUCCACCAUGAUGACCACAUAUACCAGAAGAAUAAUAGGACCAGUCGCUUCUGUUGACCUUACAGAAAGCCCUUGGACGGAAGUCCACACUCACUGCCAUCCCUAUUGUGGUACCGCGCAGCCCCGAUCCCAGGACUGAGAUGGAUAUGGUACCAUUCACAGAAGAAGUGUGCUCUGGGAUGAAAGAGCAUGAAGUGCAGGUUGCCCCCUGCAGCUCCAGUUCAGGGAGACCCAUAGCAGCCCUUGGCUCUCUGGACAAGUUGCCGGAAAGUGAGAUUCCAGAAGAGGAGGAGGAGGGAAUAGAAGAGCCAGCACCGGCCACCAGCAGUGUGAGUGCAGAGCACCAGCACUGUGAUGAGGAGGAAGACAUCCUUCAGGCCUCCCAAGGUAAAGAGCACAAGACUUCCCCCACUGCCUGUGAGGCUGGUGACAACCAGCAGCCUCCGGUGCCACUGCAGCCCAGGUGGAUGAGGCUGAGGCGCCUUCUCCACAGGCCCUGGGUGAGUCCUGCAUUAGUAAGUGAACUACAUACAUGUGGCCCCCAUUUCUGUGCGUCCAAUGCAAACUCAGUGUGACAGACACAGGACAUGUAGAGGGGACUGGUUGAAGACACUGUAACAGCUCCCAGCCAUCACUAACCCAGUUCUGGCAGGCAUCUGUUCAUUUGUUCACUUUUGCUUUUGAAGCUGGAACAGCUGUGGUGUCUUGCAGUGUUCUUGCCAAUUGCUGCUCCUGAGUACUUUGACCUUUAGUUACUGUACAAGUAUCACUACACUUGAUACACUCACUAGAGAUGAUGUUAGGGUUCCUCCACUCCCAGCCAGCAUCUCUGUCUCUUGUGGGCCUCUCUCCCAUGAAAGGUGUCAGUUCCCUGCCAUGACAUAAACACUGAGGACUGUGCCUGCCAGUAUCCUGGAGAUGCAUCUGAGCCUUGGGAGUCUCACCUUCUUGGAUGCCAGCACUGUCUUCUCUGAGU
rnacentral:lncRNA from 1 species